rnacentral:rRNA from 1 species
UACGUAGGGGGCAAGCGUUGUCCGGAAUCAUUGGGCGUAAAGAGCGUGUAGGCGGCUCGAUAAGUCUGCUGUGAAAGUCCAGGGCUCAACCCUGGAAGGCCGGUGGAAACUGUCGGGCUAGAGUCCGGAAGAGGCGAGUGGAAUUCCCGGUGUAGCGGUGAAAUGCGCAGAUAUCGGGAGGAACACCAAUGGCGAAGGCAGCUCGCUGGGACGGUACUGACGCUGAGACGCGAAGCGUGGGGGAGCAAACAGG